rnacentral:rRNA from 1 species
GCAGGCCUAACACAUGCAAGUCGAGCGGUAGAGAGAAGCUUGCUUCUCUUGAGAGCGGCGGACGGGUGAGUAAUGCCUAGGAAUCUGCCUGGUAGUGGGGGAUAACGUUCGGAAACGGACGCUAAUACCGCAUACGUCCUACGGGAGAAAGCAGGGGACCUUCGGGCCUUGCGCUAUCAGAUGAGCCUAGGUCGGAUUAGCUAGUUGGUGAGGUAAUGGCUCACCAAGGCGACGAUCCGUAACUGGUCUGAGAGGAUGAUCAGUCACACUGGAACUGAGACACGGUCCAGACUCCUACGGGAGGCAGCAGUGGGGAAUAUUGGACAAUGGGCGAAAGCCUGAUCCAGCCAUGCCGCGUGUGUGAAGAAGGUCUUCGGAUUGUAAAGCACUUUAAGUUGGGAGGAAGGGUUGUAGAUUAAUACUCUGCAAUUUUGACGUUACCGACAGAAUAAGCACCGGCUAACUCUGUGCCAGCAGCCGCGGUAAUACAGAGGGUGCAAGCGUUAAUCGGAAUUACUGGGCGUAAAGCGCGCGUAGGUGGUUUGUUAAGUUGGAUGUGAAAUCCCCGGGCUCAACCUGGGAACUGCAUUCAAAACUGACUGACUAGAGUAUGGUAGAGGGGUGGUGGGAAUUUUCCUGUGUAGCGGUGAAAUGCGUAGAUAUAGGGAAGGAACACCAGUGGCGAAAG